UGCAUCGGCCGGGAAACGAACCCGGGCCGCCCGCGUGGCAGGCGAGCAUUCUACCACUGAGCCACCGCAAUGC
rnacentral:tRNA from 1 species